GUGCACCAGUCGCGAAAACUUUGCAAUAAGCGAAAGCUUGACAGGGCUAUCCCGAGUGCCAUCCGCUGAGGAAGGCUUUUACCCAGUCUAGAAAGCUGGGGGAAUAAGGAGAGGGCAAGUCUGGUGUCAGCCGCCGCGGUAAUACCAGCUCUCCGAGUGGUGUGGAUGUUUAUUGGGCCUAAAGCAUCCGUAGCUGGCUGAGUUAGUCCCCCGUUAAAUCCACCGAAUUAAUCGUUGGAUUGCGGGGGAUACUGCUUGGCUAGGGGACGGGAGAGGCAGACGGUAUUUCCGGGGUAGGGGUGAAAUCCUAUAAUCCCGGGAAGACCACCAGUGGCGAAGGCUGUCUGCUAGAACGCGCCCGACGGUGAGGGAUGAAAGCUGGGGGAGCGAACCGGAUUAGAUACCCGGGUAGUCC
rnacentral:rRNA from 1 species